rnacentral:rRNA from 1 species
UACGAAGGGGGCUAGCGUUGUUCGGAAUUACUGGGCGUAAAGGGCCCGUAGGCGGCUCGUUAAGUCGGGGGUGAAAUCCUGGAGCUCAACUCCAGAACUGCCUUCGAUACUGGCGAUCUCGAGUCCGGAAGAGGUGAGUGGAACUCCUAGUGUAGAGGUGGAAUUCGUAGAUAUUAGGAAGAACACCAGUGGCGAAGGCGGCUCCCUGGUCCGGUACUGACGCUGAGGUGCGAAAGCGUGGGGAGCAAACAGG